GGUAUUGAAUUUCAAUACUUGUAUUGGCAUUGUAUCAAAAUGUAAAAUUUCCUGUAUCAUGACAUAACAACCUGUGAAGUGUAUACAAAAAAAUCUGAACUACCCUGUGGUUUUGAAAACAACUGGCCACAGUAAAUCAGAUGUCUAAUUUUGUUUUUAACCUUGAAGCACUCAAUUGCCUUGAUGAAGGCUUUACCAGAUAUGUUCCCAUCACCUGUGGCUCCAGCCAAGAUGUUACAUGCAAGUGAGGUUAUAUGUCACAUCCUUGAGUGUAAAGAAGACCCCAACACCUUUCUUUAAACAAGGCCAUUCUUCAGCCCUGUCAUGAUUGUCUGCAAAACCAACUGCUUAUUGGCCAUUGGAACCAUGCCUUUGAUGACCUUCCCAAAAGGGGACAUUUACGAAAGUGGGAUGUAUCUCAUGUCAUGUUAUUACAACUUUCACCUUACAUAUACUAAGUGCAUUGCGACACUUCUCUCUGUGUUGCAAACUGAAGUACUGUCAGAUGCCAUCCAUGACCGUGACAUGACCUCUUCAUACAGAAAAGCUAUAGCUGAGUAGAAAAAGUUCCUUUCUGAGUAGAAAUGCACAAAACCUUUAUUUCAUUCCCGGUCGUUAUUGUGUCCCUUCUAGUGCAAGACAUAACAAACUUCAAAUUUGAUUUCAUCUUUAAUUGUUUGGCAGGCUGUUGGUUUAGUUUGCUGCUUGUCUAUUCAUAAGGUCACUACAUUUGAUAUAUUGCAUAUGCUGACAUUCUUAUUUUCACAGUGAGCAAUGACCUUGUUUUUGCAUGUUGUUCUGCCAUACAUGCCUCUGGAUAAAGAAUUAUUUAAGCAGUCAGUCAGUUUGUAGUAUAGUAUGCUUUUCUCUGUAAAUUCCAGGGUAUUUUGUCUCAUUUCAAGGCAUUUAAACCAGCACUGAAUGUUAAAUUUAACCAAAUGUUCUACAAUUUUAGACAAAAGGGCUUAUAUUUUGCUUUGCAUCUAAAAAAAAUACUUGGUUUUAGUCUGGUUGCAAUGGUUUUAAGAUAUAAUUCCUAUAAA